rnacentral:lncRNA from 10 species
CUUUGGAAGCUCAAAGCCGCACUGGAAACACAGUCUUUCAGGAUGUCUGAAAGGGGCAAGUCUGUUUGUGUGGGGCUGGGGAGCUGUGCUUUGGAAAAGCAAUGAGGAGGUAACAGGAAGUCUCUUCUCCUUCUAAAUCCUGUGUUCAUGGAGGAGGGUGGGUUUUCUCCUCUUGAGAGGGAGUUACAUACAAGUUUAAGGGAAAAGAGUCUGAAGUUUCCACCUAAAUGAUUCUGAAAGAAUCAGUGGUGGAGCAAGAAGAGUGAUCCCAUUUAG